rnacentral:lncRNA from 1 species
CUCUUUCUAAGUUACUUCGUCUGAUUAUGGUGAUCUUAUAGUAAGAAUAAUGUUGACUGAAGAUGAAGAUUUCACUGUAGAUAUCAACCUCUUCAGAAAGUUGCUAUUGUGGAAGGAACUUCAGUUAAACUGGAAGGAAACUGAUGUAGCUAGGAAUAGAAGAAGAUGAUAAAGAUCGUGAGCUUGUAGUCAAAAUAAUGUUGAAACUGUUGAAGAUGAAUAUUUCUGACUGGAUAUCAACAUCUUCAGAAAGUUGCUAUUGUGGAAGGAUCUUCAGUUAAACUGGAAGAAAACUGAUGUAGCUAGGAAUGGAAGAUGAUAAAGAUGGUGAGCUUGUAGUCAAAAUAAUGUUGAAACUGUUGAAGAUGAAUAUUUCUGACUGCAGGAUAUCAACCACUUCAGAAAGUUGCUGUUGUGGAAAGACAGGUGCAAGAUGGGGAAUUGUUAGAAUGAAAAUAAUUGAAGCCAGUUGAAGCAUUGGUGGAUGAAAUCUGGUUUAAGAAUUACAGAAAUAAAUCAUUGUGAUCUUUUCCUGAACGGAACUCUUUUCCACGUGGAGAUUCUGUUGGAAGCUGUAGUAAAUAUAUCUACAUUAUUCAGUAGUUGGAUAGCUGAGACAUGGGCAUCAUCAACAUCACAAGCCUUUUCUUCCAUAGACAACUUGCUUUAUCAUUAGUGGUGAAGAUGAUAGGCUCUUGACUGUAAUGUACUAGAUGUAUUUAAGUAACUUGGUUUUAGUUUUGAUUUAUUUUAAUGGUAGACAUUUGUUGAAAUCCUGGAAAAAGCAUUGAUGUGAUCUUGUUCUUGGAUGGCAUGGGCCAUUGUAAAUCUUUAACUUGUAGUAAAACAAUUAUUAAAUCUUCAAAGGGUUAGUAUUAUAACCACCCUAUAUCUGGACAAUGUACAAAAUAAUUAUUAAUAUUUUAAGGCAGUGAGUGAAAUGUAAUAUUUAGUAGUAAUGGCUAGUUGAUUUGUUGCAGUGUAUGCUAAUAUAGGAACUUUUCAAUCACUUCAUUCCUGUAAGAACUUGUUCACGAAGUAUCAGUCUUUCUUCUUUCACCCUACCAGCUACAAACAAUUAUCUUCAAACAUUUUAUUUAAAAUCUAUCGUAAGUUAGAUAUAUUUGUAAUGUUAUAGGCCUGCUCAUUCUUUGUAAUUUCCUCUAGGUGACAAAUUACAGUUAAAGUUGUAAUAAUAGUGUAAAAUCGUUUUUGAGAAACUCGCACAUGUAUAACAUUGAUUAUAUGGGUACCCCUGGAAACGUAAUUUGUAAGAGCCUUUUUGUUAAUGUUAUGGUGAGUUAGCUGGUUGCCUUUUUACUUGUGCUUGUACACGAGUGUCAUAAGCGAUACGUUAUCAAAGUAUUGCUUUUAUGUGUUAGUGUCAACUUUUUUGUAGUUGGCAUUAGUCAUCUGUCAAUUACUGGAACUAGUGCCUCUACUUUGUUACUAGGAAUAGCAUCAUUUAUCUUUAAAUCUAUUGUAACUUAAUUCUCAAUGCCAAUAAUCUUUAGCUUCUCAAUGCUUUUUUUUUUCUAUACACGUGUUACAUUUUACUGCUUCCUCUGUCUAUAAUAACACCUUAAAUUUGGAAGUUACCAUGAAACAAUUACCCAAAAUUCCUUCACUCCCCUUAAGAAUUUUCUUGUGUCAUAAGAAAAUUUCCACUAUCAAACUAUUGUACUUCCAACUCCACUUCAGUCAAUGUGUAAUGAGUUAUGCCCUAGUAGGCUUAGUUGUUAGUUUCAAUUAAAACUAUUUGUCACACCAAAUUUGUUUGUAGAAUUGUCUUGGGCCAAGGGUGAACUUUUAUUAAUUCAUCUAAUUAACAGUA